UACAGCCAUAGCACAUUGAAACAUCAGUUCUCAUAUGAUCACUAAAGUUAAACAAUGUUGAGCCUGGGCAGUAUCUAGAUGGGUGACUGCUUGAGAAUACUUGGUGCUGUAA